rnacentral:guide_RNA from 1 species
UAAACUAACAAUGAUUAAUUCAGUGAGUAAAUUGAUAGUAAUAUU